rnacentral:rRNA from 1 species
UGGCUCAGGAUGAACGCUGGCGGCGUGCCUAACACAUGCAAGUCGAGCGGUAUAUAGUGGAACGAAACUUCGGUCGAGUGAAGCCAUAGAGAGCGGCGGACGGGUGAGUAACGCGUAGGCAACCUGCCCCAUACAGAGGGAUAGCCUCGGGAAACCGGGAUUAAAACCUCAUAACGCGAGGAGUUCACAUGGACUUCUCGCCAAAGAUUCAUCGGUAUGGGAUGGGCCUGCGUCUGAUUAGCUAGUUGGUGAGGUAACGGCUCACCAAGGCGACGAUCAGUAGCCGACCUGAGAGGGUAAUCGGCCACAUUGGAACUGAGACACGGUCCAAACUCCUACGGGAGGCAGCAGUGGGGAAUAUUGCACAAUGGGCGAAAGCCUGAUGCAGCAACGCCGCGUGAGCGAUGAAGGCCUUUGGGUCGUAAAGCUCUGUCCUUGGGGAAGAAACAAAUGACGGUACCCUUGGAGGAAGCCCCGGCUAACUACGUGCCAGCAGCCGCGGUAAUACGUAGGGGGCGAGCGUUAUCCGGAAUUAUUGGGCGUAAAGAGUGCGUAGGUGGCCAUGUAAGCGCGGGGUGAAAGGCAAUAGCUUAACUAUUGUAAGCCUUGCGAACUGUGUGGCUUGAGUGCAGGAGAGGAAAGUGGAAUUCCUAGUGUAGCGGUGAAAUGCGUAGAUAUUAGGAGGAACACCAGUGGCGAAGGCGACUUUCUGGACUGUAACUGACACUGAGGCACGAAAGCGUGGGGAGCAAACAGGAUUAGAUACCCUGGUAGUCCACGCCGUAAACGAUGAGCACUAGGUGUCGGGGUCGCAAGACUUCGGUGCCGCAGUUAACGCAUUAAGUGCUCCGCCUGGGGAGUACGCACGCAAGUGUGAAAC